rnacentral:rRNA from 1 species
UACGUAGGGGGCGAGCGUUGUCCGGAAUUAUUGGGCGUAAAGAGCUCGUAGGCGGCUUGGCAAGUCGGAUGUGAAAACUCCAGGCUCAACCUGGAGCCGCCAUUCGAUACUGCUAUGGCUAGAGUCCGGGUAGGGGGAGUGUGGAAUUCCCGGUGUAGCGGUGAAAUGCGCAGAUAUCGGGAGGAACACCGAUGGCGAAGGCAGCACUCGUGGGCCGGCACUGACGCUGAGGAGCGAAAGCGUGGGGAGCGAACGAGGACUUG